rnacentral:rRNA from 1 species
GUGGGGAAUAUUGGACAAUGGGCGCAAGCCUGAUCCAGCCAUGCCGCGUGAGUGAUGAAGGCCCUAGGGUUGUAAAGCUCUUUCGCCAGGGACGAUAAUGACGGUACCUGGAUAAGAAGCCCCGGCUAACUUCGUGCCAGCAGCCGCGGUAAUACGAAGGGGGCUAGCGUUGUUCGGAAUCACUGGGCGUAAAGCGCACGUAGGCGGAUCUUUAAGUCAGGGGUGAAAUCCCGAGGCUCAACCUCGGAACUGCCUUUGAUACUGGGGAUCUCGAGUCCGGGAGAGGUGAGUGGAACUGCGAGUGUAGAGGUGAAAUUCGUAGAUAUUCGCAAGAACACCAGUGGCGAAGGCGGCUCACUGGCCCGGUACUGACGCUGAGGUGCGAAAGCGUGGGGAGCAAACAGGAUUAGAUACCCGAGUAGUCC